CCUACGGGAGGCAGCAGUAGGGAAUCUUGCGCAAUGGGCGAAAGCCUGACGCAGCCAUGCCGCGUGAAUGAUGAAGGUCUUAGGAUUGUAAAAUUCUUUCACCGGGGACGAUAAUGACGGUACCCGGAGAAGAAGCCCCGGCUAACUUCGUGCCAGCAGCCGCGGUAAUACGAAGGGGGCUAGCGUUGCUCGGAAUUACUGGGCGUAAAGGGAGCGUAGGCGGAUAGUUUAGUCAGAGGUGAAAGCCCAGGGCUCAACCUUGGAACUGCCUUUGAUACUGGCUAUCUUGAGUACGGGAGAGGUGAGUGGAACUCCGAGUGUAGAGGUGAAAUUCGUAGAUAUUCGGAAGAACACCAGUGGCGAAGGCGACUCACUGGCCCGUUACUGACGCUGAGGCUCGAAAGCGUGGGGAGCAAACAGGAUUAGAUACCCUGGUAGUCCACGCUGUAAACGAUGAGUGCUAGUUGUCGGCAUGCAUGCAUGUCGGUGACGCAGCUACGCAUUAAGACACUCCGCCGUCGGGGAGGUACGGUCGCGAAGAAUUAAACUACAAUAGAAGUUAGACGG
rnacentral:rRNA from 1 species